rnacentral:lncRNA from 1 species
CGAUUAACUGUUUAUGAGUUAAAAAAACAUACCGACAAAUUUAUUCCGUAAGGGUAGAUAACUCCUAUAAAAUGUCAUCGAAUCGCUUCGAUCCAAAUGGGCCAAAAAUAACUGAGGAUGUAAUGAACAAUUUGUAAAAGGAAUUUUGUCGCUAUCUUUUUUUGUUACGGAGGAGAUGCACACAGAUGAUAAACAGUGAAUAGGGAGAUAACUCUUACAAAGAAAAUAGUUCGCCUCAGCAGGGUGAAAUUUAAAAGCGCAUAAACUAUACGAUACCAUAUGAGAAAUAUCUAAGCGACAUAUUGCGAAACAAACAUUUAUCGCAAGAACAAAAUUUGGCGGAAGAAAAAAAUAAUAAUAAUAAUCAGAAGAAAUACAAUAAGUCUUUUCACAAAAAAGUGAAAAGACUUAAUUA